rfam:Spinacia oleracea cultivar SynViroflay scaffold12857.con0007.1, whole genome shotgun sequence.
GGAGGCCUGUGAUGACCUUUCCUAAUAUUAUGUCUACAUUGUUUGACUUCACUGUGAUAAGGAAUAUAGAGUCUGAGGCCUUC